rnacentral:sRNA from 1 species
AAGUGUUGAACUGAAAGAGAAAGAAAAAGAAAGGGAGACAAUUGCAAGGAAAUUAAAACGACAGUGUGUUGAAGUUAGAGAGAAAGAAAUAGAAUGUGAUAGAGGUGCAAGAAAAUUAAAACGGCAAAGUGUUGAACUGAAAGAAAAAGAAAAUAAAAGGGAAACAAUUGCAAGCAAAUUAAAACGACAGUGUGUUGAAAUUAGAGAGAAAGAAAAAGAAUGUGAUAGAGGUGCAAGAAAAUUAAAACGGCAAAGUGUUGAACUGAAAGAAAAAGAUAAUGAAAGGGAAACAAUUGCAAGGAAAUUAAAACGACAGUGUGUUGAAGUUAGAGAGAAAGAAAAAGAAUGUGAUAGAGAGGUGCAAGAAAAUUAAAACGGCAAAGUGUUGAACUGAAAGAAAAAGAAAAAGAAUGUGAUAGAGGUGCAAGACAUUUGAAAAGACAACAUGUUGAAGUCAGAG